rnacentral:rRNA from 1 species
UACAGAGGUCCCAAGCGUUGUUCGGAUUCACUGGGCGUAAAGGGUGCGUAGGUGGCCGGCUAAGUCUGACGUGAAAUCUCCGAGCCUAACUCGGAAACUGCGUCGGAAACUAUCCGGCUCGAGGGUUGGAGGGGGGACUGGAAUACUUGGUGUAGCAGUGAAAUGCGUAGAUAUCAAGUGGAACACCAGUGGCGAAGGCGAGUCCCUGGACAACUCCUGACACUGAGGCACGAAAGCUAGGGGAGCAAACAGG